rnacentral:rRNA from 1 species
UGGCCUUGACAUUGAUAGAACACAGUAGAGAUACAGUGGUGCCCUUCGGGGAGCUUGAAAAC